rnacentral:rRNA from 1 species
UAGCGGAACUCCUACGGGAGGCAGCAGUGGGGAAUAUUGCACAAUGGGGGAAACCCUGAUGCAGCCAUGCCGCGUGUGUGAAGAAGGCCUUCGGGUUGUAAAGCACUUUCAGUAGGGAGGAAAGGGUAAGGUUUAAUACGCCUUAUCUGUGACGUUACCUACAGAAGAAGGACCGGCUAACUCCGUGCCAGCAGCCGCGGUAAUACGGAGGGUCCGAGCGUUAAUCGGAAUUACUGGGCGUAAAGCGUGCGCAGGCGGUUUGUUAAGCGAGAUGUGAAAGCCCUGGGCUCAACCUAGGAAUAGCAUUUCGAACUGGCGAACUAGAGUCUUGUAGAGGGGGGUAGAAUUCCAGGUGUAGCGGUGAAAUGCGUAGAGAUCUGGAGGAAUACCGGUGGCGAAGGCGGCCCCCUGGACAAAGACUGACGCUCAUGCACGAAAGCGUGGGGAGCAAACAGGAUUAGAAACCCUUGUAGUCCACUUAUG